GCCGUCUUUACCUGUGCAUUCUUUAUUGUAUUAGUGAAGGGCUUGUUCUUCGGGCACUCCUAGAACAGAUGGUCAGAUGGCAGGUUCUCCAAGCUUGUGUACUGUAUCGAUUCUAACAUUCUUAUGCUCCUGAGUUGUUCCCUAGUACUCUGUUAAGGCAAUUCUCACAUGAUACAACAUUUGUUGUAGACCAAUACUAUAUUCAAGCUUUAGGGAGCUGUCUCAGAAACACUGGGGCUGGCCCUAAGUGUCCUUGCCAAGGCAAACUCUGAGUCAUGGAAGAGUUUUCCCAUGUUAAUACAUUGUCGCCUAUUCAUAUUUCAGUAGUUCCUUGUUUGACAUCAUCAAGAUUCAUUGUCACCCUCACUCUCUGUCUGCUACAUGUGCAUACUUAGCCAUGUCUUUUAAUUUAUAUCUGUUAUUUUCUCUUAGAGCAAGCAUUAGAUUUCCCUGUGCAGACCGUGUUGUGAUUCAAUCGCUGUUACUUGUCUGCAGGCAAUGGAGUGGCUCUAGAGAAGGACACACAUCUUGUAGCAAUGCAUCUGACUCAGAUGAUAGACUUGGAUGGGCUUCUCAUAAGGGCAAACAGGAC
rnacentral:lncRNA from 1 species